UGAUAGAAAGGUUUUAUUUUUUAAAGUGUGGAAGCUGUGUUUUUUUUUACUUUAAAGAAAAUAAAGGAUGAAAAUCGGUGCAGCAGAAUCUGGAUUAUUAGGUCUACCCACAUUACCCACAAUGCAAUUCAACCAAAUCAUAUUCACUUCUGAACAGUUUUGAUUUGUACAUAAUAAAAAAAAUGAUUCACAGUGCAAGUAAAAACCUUCAGAAUCUGUAUUUAAACAGUUGCAUCUCAGUUUUUCCUUUCACUCUUAAUUUAAAAUAAUCCACGCUGCUAAACCGGCUCCAUCUGCGGCUCUGGGACUUCACCGUUUGUGGGCUCGACGCUGAGACUGUGAGGGAGAGAAUGUGCAUGUCAACAACCUUUUUAUACGGUACGAUUAAAGAUGGAGGAAAAAAUAAGAAGUGUGCUGGGAUGAUGCUGAAACUAAAAAAAGAGGAUACAUGAAGGAUGCUUGUGUACGAUAGACACGACCGUUUCUUAAUCCUAUUUUUAGAGGAAUAAGAGGAAUAAAUGCUAUGAAGGUACAGUGUUUUUUUUCUUUCUGUUUUUCCCCUGGAGAACAUAAGGUGUAUAUUUUAUGUGCAAAAGAAAGAAGAACUACAUCAACAACAAAAAAAGAUGAAAACAAUCUGUUCUUGUUUACAGAAUCUCUGUUUUUCUAAAUAACUGAUCAGUGUCAGAAAAUGGAUUAUCACCUGUUUUUCAUUUGGAUAUCGAGGUUUGAGUAUUUGUUUUGGAUUAUGUUUUUCUUUCUGUUCUAAAAACAAAAACAUCCUGUAACAGUCAAGUCACAGGUUCCUAUUCUACAAGAGCCAAAGCUUUGGAUCAACAGCCACGGUUAUUCAUCACUCGACUUAAAAAAAAAAAAAAAGAAACAACAACUGCAGUGUAAAUACCUUCCAAACAUUUCCAAAACAUCUCUUCAAAACUGAGUUUAUUUUUUGAUUCUUGGUUUUGAUUGUUUCGAUGUAGAGUUAAAGUACCUCUGGCCUUAAACUGCUUUAAAAGGUGAAGACUACUUCAGAACCGCUCUGAUGGAAACGACGCACUGGCAACAAUUUAGAGCAGCAGUGAACGGUCAACAUUUCUGGAAGGAAAUGAAAGAUGAAUGAGAUAAUCUAUUAAUCUGCUGGUUUACGAUAUGCCCUGUUGGUACGGUGCAGAACAAUGCUUGGGCCAUGCUCUUGAUCCAGCGGUCAAAAACUUCACAGAAGUUUGUGAAAUAUUGAAAAUGAGAGACCCUAAAAGGAGGAGUACGCACAAAGAGAUUCAGUUAUCAAUGACUGGCCGGUUUGCUCAAACAAUUUAUUAUUCUAAAAUGAUUCUUUCCACCUUACUGUCGCAGCACUGAAACAAGAACAGGGAGUUGAAAUUGAACAAACUCAUUAUGGUCACAAAUGUGAACACUGACUGCUGAAGUGUCUUUGAGCAAGACACUAAAGCAUCCUCACUUUAAACUGCCUGAAACUGUUGCCACUGUGUGUUUAUUCUUCAACUAUCAGAAAGUUUUAUUAGAUGUCUGUCGGGUUUGAAACCACAAGAAUUUUACUUUUGUUAGGUACUUUGAUGAGCUCGUAUUAAUCUGACAGUGAAAAUGUUGUCUACCUGUAGGUCUUUCUUUUGAUGAUGGGUCCAUCUAAGAAUAAUUUAUGAACAAUUGUGCAGUUUGUUUACCUGCUGCCUAAAAGAUGUAGUUUCAGAUUCACAAUUUUAGUUUGGAUAACUACCCAAAUUAAUAAAAAUCUACUGACAAAUUUUUAUGUAAAAUAUCCUUGGGAAAGUUGAGGUGACACAAAAUGGAAUAAUCCCAUUAACAUUAAUAGAAAACAAAGUAAACUCAGUUUAAUUUACAAUCAUGAGGGACUCUUAGUGGUUGAUUGUUGGCGUUUCUGCCUCUAAACUACAAGUUAAACUAAUAUUCCUGAUGACCAUCACAUCCUGCCUUUUUUGCCUCGUCUGGUUAACUAAAUUAAAAUAUUUUUUUUUAGUGUCACCAAGCAGGUCACAGUCAUCAAAUCAUCUUUGGGGGGGGGGGGGGGUUCAGACUUGGUACAGUCAUGAGAUGGUCGAUGUAGUCUUCACUCCCCGGUGUAUCGGAGCCAUAAUUUAUCUGUUUAUAAGUCAUUUUGAUUAUUUGAAACAACUCUGGAAAAUGAAAAGAAUAAAGCUGUACAAAAACUGGAAA